UACAGAGGUCUCAAGCGUUGUUCGGAAUCACUGGGCGUAAAGGGCGCGUAGGCGGCCGGCCAAGUCGGGGGUGAAAGCCUGUGGCUCAACCACAGAAUGGCCCUCGAUACUGGACGGCUCGAGACCGGAAGAGGUUGGUGGAAUUGCGAGUGUAGAGGUGAAAUUCGUAGAUAUUCGCAAGAACACCGGUGGCGAAGGCGGCCAACUGGUCCGGAUCUGACGCUGAGGCGCGAAAGCGUGGGGAGCAAACAGG
rnacentral:rRNA from 1 species